UCUCUGGUAGUAUAGUGGUGAGUAUCCGCGCCUGUCACGUGCGAGACCGGGGUUCGAUUCCCCGCCAGAGAG
rfam:Strongyloides ratti strain ED321 Heterogonic genome assembly, chromosome: 1